AUGAGAGAGGAAGGGAAAUCCAGACACCAAUUUUUAAGCUACCAAUUUUUAAGGGAGGGGGGAGGGAGUCUACAACUCACAAGUGCACUGAAAGUUGGCUCUGUAGUCCAAAAAAGUACAUUUUUUUCAAGCUGGGGACCUUUGUUGUUGUUUAUUUGUUCAGUUGCUUCUGACUCCUCACGACCUCAUGGACCAGCCCAUGCCAAAGUUUCCUGUCGUCCGUGGCCACUCCCAGGUCCUUCAAUGUCAAGCCAAUCACUUCAAGGAUACCAUCCAUCCAUCUUGGGAGGGAUAGCUAACACUCCAGAAGACAGGAGCAGAAUUCAAAACGAUCUUGAUAGACUAGAGAGAUGGGUCGAAACUAACAAAAUGAAGUUCAACAGGGACAAAUGCAAGAUACUUUACUUCGGCAGAAAAAAUGGAAAUCAGAGAUACAGAAUGGGGGACGAUGCCUGGCUCGACAGCAGUGUGUGCAAGAAAGACCUUGGAGUCCUCGUGGACAACAAGUUAAACAUGAGCCAACAAUGUGAUGCGGCUGCUAAAAAAGCCAAUGGGAUUCUGGCCUGCAUCGAUAGGGGAAUAGCGUCUAGAUCCAGGGAAGUCCUGCUCCCCCUCUAUUCUGCCUUGGUCAGACCACACCUGGAAUACUGCGUCCAAUUUUGGGCACCGCAGAUGAAGGGAGAUGUUGACAAGCUGGAAAGCGUCCAGAGGAGGGCGACUAAAAUGAUUAAGGGUCUGGAGAACAAGCCCUAUGAGGAGCGGCUUAAAGAGCUGGGCAUGUUUAGCCUGCAGAAGAGUGUUCAAGUUUGAAAAUAUCACUUCAGUUUGGAUGUUGGGGACCCCUGGGUGAAAAUGGAAGAAGAUAUCACUACCCCCUUUUUUGCACAUAGAAUCAUAGAAUAGUAGAGUUGGAAGAGACCUCAUGGGCCAUCCAGUCCAACCCCCUGCCAAGAAGCAGGAAAUCGCAUUCAAAGCACCUCCGACAGAUGGCCAUCCAGCCUCUGCUUAAAAGCCUCCAAAGAAGGAGCCUCCACCACGACCCGGGGGAGAGAGUUCCACUGCCGAACAGCCCUUCUCACUGUGAGGAAGUUCUUCCUGAUGUUCAGGUGGAAUCUCCUUUCCUGUAGUUUGAAGUCAUUGUUCCAUGUCCUAGUCUGCAGGGCAGCAGAAAACAAGCUUGCUCCCUCCUCCCUAUGACUUCCCCUCACGUGUUUGUACAUGGCUAUCAUGUCUCCUCUUAGCCUUCUCUUCUGUAGGCUAAACAUGCUCAGCUCUUUAAGCCGCUCCUCAUAGGGCUUGUUCUCCAGACCUUUGAUCAUUUUAGUCGCCCUCCUCUGGACACAUUCCAGCUUGUCGACAUCUCCCUUCAACUGCAGUGCCUAGAAUUGGACACAGUAUUCCAGGUGUGGUCUGACCAAGGCAGAAUAGAGGGGGAGCAUGACUUCCCUGGAUCUAGACGCUAUUCCCCUAUUGAUGCAGGCCAAAAUCCCGUUGGCUUUCUUAGCAGCCGCAUCACAUUGCUGGCUCAUGUUUAACUUGUUGUCCACAAGGACUCCAAGAUCUGUACUGUUGUCUAGCCAGGCGUCCCCCAUUCUGUAUCUUUGCAUUCCAUUCCACAUGAAGUCUUGUCAGAUGUUGGGUGACAUCCAAUAUCGGAACUUUUCUCAGUUGUGGGAAUCAUGGAGCAGUAUUGUGAUGUCUCAUGGGCCUUGUAGUCCCGUUCCUAGCACUAUUGUGGCAGACGAAGAGGAAAACAUGGGUUUUCAACCGGUUCAGCCAGAAUCGGAGCCUCUGCACCUGGAGGAUGUUUGCCCUCAAGAAUCCAGCCAAACAAGCCUUGGGCAGAAUUCUCCCCCGUUUUCUCGAAAGGACAAUUAUAAUAGAGAUAGAGGACCCUCUCAAUCCCCAGCUGCUUCCCCAGUGAUGUUUGUGAAAAAGAAGUCAGGGGACCUACGCUUGGUUGUGGACUAUAGAGCAUUGAACAAUAUCACGAAG
ensembl:lncRNA